rnacentral:ncRNA from 1 species
UUUGACAGAGGUGCGGCAUAUCAUCAGUAGUCGGAUGUAAAAAACAGGCUUUCGCACAGCCUUAUCCGAACGAAAGGGGUUGCUGCCGAAGUCGGCUGAGGCGUAAAGUCGUUCUGGGUAAACGGAAUAAUAUCUGUUUAACUGUCGCAUUGUAUAUGCGGAGUGCUGUCU